GCUGUGAGAGUGAGUCCACACAACACCACCACCAACGCCAAACAGUAUCUUUUCCCUCCAAUCGGAUUUACGCUGCCAAAUUCCGCGCUCUUAUCCCUCCCAAUCCCCCCCUCACUCCCUCUCUCUCUCUCCCCGUGAAUUUUUCAAAUCCCGACCCUCCGCCAUGGAGCUCACUCCUCCGCCCCACCGUUGCAUUUGGUCCUCGCCGAUUCGUUCGUCCUGCUCCUCGCACCGCCCUCUCCUCGUUUCAAUUUCGCCUCGGAAGACCAAGCUCCUUAGGUCCGUACCCUCUUUCAGAUCGAUUCGCCGGAGAAAUUUGUGCUCCGCCUCCAGCUCCGAGACGUUGGUUGGGUCGCGGAAGGAGGACGGCGGCAAGGAGAUUCAGGUGGUGAGCAAGAAAGACGAGGAGGAAGACUUGAAAUCUUGGAUGCACAAGAACGGCCUGCCUCCUUGCAAGGUCGUGCUCAAGGACAAACCUUCCUACGACGAGAAGCUCCGGCCCAUUCAUUACGUAGCUGCCAGCGAAGAUCUUGAGGUUGGUGAUGUCGCAUUUUCGGUGCCGGAUUCUUUAGUUGUGACUCUCAAGAGAGUGUUGGGGAACGAAACAAUCGCUGAAUUAUUAACUACGAACAAAUUAUCGGAAUUGGCAUGCUUGGCAUUGUAUCUGAUGUAUGAGAAGAAACAAGGAAAGAAAUCAUUUUGGUAUCCCUAUAUAAGAGAGCUCGAUCGUCAGCGAGGGAGGGGUCAAUUAGCGGUGGAAUCGCCCCUUUUAUGGUCAGAAGCUGAACUGGCCUAUCUUACAGGCAGCCCCACAAAGGCUGACGUUCGUGCAAGGGCCGAAGGAAUUAAAAGAGAAUAUAAUGAGCUUGACACUGUCUGGUUUAUGGCUGGUUCCCUAUUUCAGCAAUACCCAUAUGACAUUCCCACAGAGGCCUUCCCAUUUGAGAUAUUCAAACAAGCUUUUGUUGCAGUUCAGUCGUGUGUUGUGCAUUUGCAGAAAGUUAGUUUGGCUCAAAGAUUUGCGUUGGUUCCUCUUGGGCCCCCAUUGUUAGCUUACGGAAGCAACUGUAGAGCAAUGUUGACAGCUGUUGAUGGUGCUGUUCAACUAGUGGUUGAUCGGCCAUAUAAAGCAGGGGAGUCUAUUGUUGUGUGGUGUGGACCACAGCCUAAUUCAAAGUUGCUUAUAAACUAUGGUUUUGUUGAUGAAGAUAAUCCUUAUGACCGUUUGGUGGUUGAGGCAGCUUUGAACACUGAGGAUCCACAAUAUCAAGAUAAAAGAAUGGUUGCUCAAAGAAAUGGAAAAUUAUCAGUACAAACUUUUCAGGUAUAUGUGGGAAAGGAAAAGGAAACGGUCUUCGAUAUGCUUCCCUAUCUGCGACUGGGCUAUGUUUCAGAUCCUUCAGAGAUGCAGUCUGUUAUCUCUUCUCAAGGUCCAAUUUGUGCAGUGAGUCCUUGUAUGGAACGAGCGGUGUUGGACCAACUUGCUGAUUAUUUUAGGACACGGCUGGCUGGCUAUCCAACUACAUUGAGCGAAGAUGAUUCUUUGUUGGCAGAUGCUAAUUUGAAUCCAAAGAAGCGAGUUGCUACUCGGCUUGUUAGGUUAGAAAAGAAAAUGCUCCAUGCAUGCCUGAAGGUGGUGGUUGAUUUGAUAGGCCAGUUACCAGACGACACUGUAUCACCAUGCCCAGCUCCCUAUGCCCCCUCGUUGAAAUAAAAAGAACCAAUCAUUGUUUGUGUUAUUUCCCUUGAUAAGAUUUUACCGCGUUUGGUCCGUUUGCAUCUGUUGUCAUUGAGGAAUUUCUGGAUCUUUAAUGAUGGAUCGAAGGAAGCGGGCAACGCAUAGGGCAACCAAGGAGAACUGGAAUAUGUCUCCGCCUCCAUCAGGCAUCAAAGAGGAGAGAAUCAGGCAUUCUUUUUCAGUAACAUGUAAAUUCCUUCCCACUUGUUUGUCAGCAUACAAUAUAAUCCGUCCCGACACUCUCCAUCGUAUAUUCUCCCGAAUUCAUUUUCUUCCUCCCUCAGACGAAUGGGGUGCCGGAAAAAAGAAAUGAAAGGAAAUGAAAAUGAUGAAGGAUGAAUGCCUUGAUGAUUUUGGUAGCUAAUGUAAUCUUUGGUCGUUCUCUGUAAAUGUGAAUCGGGACGACCAGACUCUUAAUCCGUUUGUGUUCAA